rnacentral:sRNA from 2 species
CGCGAAUUCGCACCACGGCAGGCGCGGGGGACCCAGGUAAGUCGCCCCGGACCGGUCCACGACCGGUUCAGGGGCUAGGGGUGAAGCCGUGCUCAGCACGGCCGGGCAACUCCAGCCCGAAUCCGACAGCUCACCUCGCAGGCGUGGGAGAGGAACAUC